rnacentral:rRNA from 1 species
UACAGAGGGUGCAAGCGUUAAUCGGAAUUACUGGGCGUAAAGCGUGCGUAGACGGUUAUGUAAGUCGGGUGUGAAAGCCCCGGGCUCAACCUGGGAAUUGCAUUCGAGACUGUGUAGCUAGGGUACGGAAGAGGGAAGCGGAAUUUCAGGUGUAGCGGUGAAAUGCGUAGAUAUCUGAAGGAACACCGGUGGCGAAGGCGGCAUCCUGGACCAACACUGACGCUGAGGAGCGAAAGCCAGGGGAGCAAACGGG